AACGAACGCUGGCGGCAGGCCUAACACAUGCAAGUCGAACGGACGUAGCAAUGCGUCAGUGGCGGACGGGUGAGUAACACGUGGGAAUAUGCCUUUCGGUUCGGAACAACUCGGGGAAACCCGCGCUAAUUCCGGAUACGCCCUUACGGGGAAGAUUUAUCGCCGAAAGAUUAGCCCGCGUCCGAUUAGCUAGUUGGUGAGGUAAAGGCUCACCAAGGCACCGAUCGGUAGCUGGUUUGAGAGAACGACCAGCCACACUGGGACUGAGACACGGCCCAGACUCCUACGGGGAGGCAGCAGUGGGGAAUCUUGGACAAUGGGCGCAAGCCUGAUCCAGCCAUGCCGCGUGAGUGAUGAAGGCCUUCGGGUU
rnacentral:rRNA from 1 species